CUCACAGGAAGCCAGCAGAGCUCCUCCCUUCCUUCCCGUGGCGGUGCAGACCUCAAUGACUUGGCAGACACUGUGGCCUCUGCAGGGUGCUGUGUCUCUGGCCUCUUCCUGGAAGGCAAUGGGGAGCACAGGCUGGCUGAAGUUCUGCUGAUGCCCAGAACCCAGAGAGGGCCUCCCAGGCACAGAAACUGCACAGCAGAUGGCAGAGGAGGUGGAACUCUGGUGUCUUCCACAAAAGCACCUGGAGGCCACUCUGCUCUUAAAGGUGUGCACGCUGGCCCAGCAACCAGACAGCAAUAAUUUAUGCCAUGGACACAACAGGAGAGCCAACAGGUGUUUUCUGGCGUGACCCAGCUCCCAGCAGGCCACUGGUGGCCCCCCACGCUCUGCCACUGUCGGAUGCAGUCUCUGCCUGGGAAGGAUGCGGUCUGCUCUGGAAGGUGACUCUGGGCCGAGGCCAGGACCGGGCAGAGGAAGCCCCCACACUGCACGGGCCACCCUGCGUCUGUAGGCAUAGCCUCGGCAGGCAGUCAGGGAGGGAGCGGUGUCUUCUCCUGGUUAUCGCCAAAUAAACCACAAGCCAGAGCCCCCGCUGGCAGCAGCCUGGGUUUGCCACCUCGGUUCCCUCGCAGGGGACACCAGCUGCCUCUGGUUCCCAGCACCCACUGCUCCUGCACUCCACACACUGAUCCCUUACACGUUUUUUUUUAAU